rnacentral:rRNA from 1 species
CCUACGGGGGGCAGCAGUGGGGAAUAUUGGACAAUGGGGGGAACCCUGAUCCAGCCAUGCCGCGUGUGUGAAGAAGGCCCUCGGGUUGUAAAGCACUUUCAGUGAGGAAGAACGCCUGGUGGUUAAUACCCAUCAGGAAAGACAUCACUCACAGAAGAAGCACCGGCUAACUCCGUGCCAGCAGCCGCGGUAAUACGGAGGGUGCGAGCGUUAAUCGGAAUUACUGGGCGUAAAGCGCGCGUAGGUGGCUUGAUAAGCCGGUUGUGAAAGCCCCGGGCUCAACCUGGGAACGGCAUCCGGAACUGGCAAGCUAGAGUGCAGGAGAGGAAGGUAGAAUUCCCGGUGUAGCGGUGAAAUGCGUAGAGAUCGGGAGGAAUACCAGUGGCGAAGGCGGCCUUCUGGACUGACACUGACACUGAGGUGCGAAAGCGUGGGUAGCAAACAGGAUUAGAUACCCCUGUAGUC